rnacentral:rRNA from 1 species
GACAGAGGUGCCAAGCGUUAGGCGGAAUCACUGGGCUUAAAGCGUGUGUAGGCGGAUCGUUAAGUACCUUGUGAAACCCCGGGGCUCAACCCCGGAACUGCAUCCGAUACUGCGUGGCUAGAGGUAGGUAGGGGAGAUCGGAAUUCCUGGUGUAGCGGUGAAAUGCGUAGAUAUCAGGAGGAACACCGGUGGCGAAGGCGGAUCUCUGGGCCUUACCUGACGCUCAGGCACGAAAGCUAGGGGAGCGAACAGG